CGCUUCAUUGUUAAUAUACUCAAAAUCCACAUUUAUUUUCUUCCAUUUUUGGUUGGUUUUGAAUGUAAGUUGUAACACUGAAGUGUUUGGGGGGACUCAUGGUGCCAUUCUGGCGUUGAAGUGUUAAUUAACUGUUGCACAGUUUCUUAAUUUCUUAAAGUAUUAUAUUACCAAUUAGUUCUCAUACUUUUUUGAAAUGUCUUCAUGGAUUUUAUAUUUUGAAUGGUAUGGACCGUAUGGUAUAACCCUAUGUGCAUGUAUAUUAGAAAUUGCCAAAAAUACCAUUUUCAUAGUACCACUUUUCAUGUUUACACUAACCACUAUUUUUAAUGAAGGGUUUAGAUUUUUAAUGAAGGAUUUAGAUUUGAAGGUUUAGGAUUUAUGGUUUAGAUUUGAUGUUUUAGAGUUUAAGCUAUAUAGUUUAGAGUUUAGAGUUGAGGAUUUAGGGUUUAUAGUUUAGAUUUUAGGGUUUAGGGUUUAAGAUAUUGAAUUUAGGGUAUAUAGUUUAGGGUUUAGAGUUGAAGAUUUUGGGUUUAGGGUUUAGAAUUGGAGGUUUAGGAUUUAGAAUUUGAGAUUAAAAUUUUGAAAAGCAUAUAACAAAGAUAUGGUUGGGAGCAUCGCAAAAUUUGAUAUCUGGACUGGUGAGUCCUUAGUUUUAUCUUGUUUUGAGGCAUAUAUGAGCUGAAGAUCACUAGCUGUUUCUCUUCCACACUGCUUUGUUGCAUCCGUCAGAUAUUUAGGGUUUGAGAUCAAAUUCUAAAUCAUAGUUCUCAUUUUGAGCAUUUUCAUUCCUUUUACUAUCUCUGUCUCCUCCUAAUCAAUUUGGCAUUUAACCUUUUUUUAAAGGACGGGAAACUGGACACGCUGGAAUACAAGCAGGAUGUCGCAAAUGUUCGCAUGCUACAUUUGUAUAACUAUCUUGGAGGCAAAAGCACAAAACUGUCUGACAUGGUAGGGCUUCUCUUAAAUAGAUUUUUAUCCCUUUUGCGUUAAUGUGAUAUAUUCUUUUUUUUAUUUAACUUUUGGAUGCAACUUCAACUUCAUGUGAACCAGAAAGCUCGUAACUUGCUUUCAGAUGUUGAAACCAAGGGGUUGAAAAACUUUGCUUGAAGGCAAAUCUCACAGAGGGAGCAACAACGGUGGAAAAUAAUUGGUAUAACUAAGGCCAAUGACAAGUCGAGGCCAUUGUUAUCAAGGGUUGCUUCAGCUAGGUGUUGAUGUGGAAGUAUAUAACAACAAACAACAAACUCUUACUUAUACAAAAUGGUCUUGUGAGCAGGAGAAAACUUUCUUUUAUGCGUUGGCUUGGUAUUACUUGGGUCUUAUGAUGUUUUGGUUUGCACUUUGGAGGUACUUCCUUGAACUUGGAGUUUGCUUAUUGACAUGGGCAUUUGCUGUGUCCACUUUUGGACUUUGAACCAAUUAAAAUAAAUGAUCUGGGGGAGUUAUGAUUUAUAUACGUAGACAUUUGAUGAGAUUACGGUUCAAGGUAAACAUAUUGGAGUGGACACUGAGACGUUUUGGGACACUAUAAGGGAAAGACGUGGAGCAAAUUAUCUUUAUACGCAAGAAAUAUCACAUGAGACAAGUUUGAUCGUAUGUUCGGAUAUGCUGGGAGACCUUCUGGAUCAAGAGAGCUUCCAAGUAGUAUGGGAGAAGCGUCAGAAGCCUAAACGGACCAACUUCAUGCAACUCGCAAAGUAUAUGUUUCAAAUUUUUAAUCAGUACUCAAAUAUCUUUGUAGUUAACACUUUGUGAUGUUUAGAACUAAUUUAUUCUUAAAUUGUAUGUUUAUAUGAAUGGUGAAAAGAAUACAAAUUUGUGGCAUGGACUCUUUAUCGACGGCUACAUAAUGAACCAUCUUGCAUUUUCGGUUCACCGAUUCAAAGACUGGUUCAGUGACAUCAAUUUCAUCAAACAGCAUCAUGAAGAAAAUAGACUUAAACCAAUAUUCUGAAACCUGAUCCGGAUAGAUAUAUAA